rnacentral:rRNA from 1 species
GAAUUGACGGGGGCCCGCACAAGCGGUGGAGCAUGUGGUUUAAUUCGAUGCAACGCGAAGAACCUUACCUACUCUUGACAUCCAGAGAACUUUCCAGAGAUGGAUUGGUGCCUUCGGGAACUCUGAGACAGGUGCUGCAUGGCUGUCGUCAGCUCGUGUUGUGAAAUGUUGGGUUAAGUCCCGCAACGAGCGCAACCCUUAUCCUUUGUUGCCAGCGGUCCGGCCGGGAACUCAAAGGAGACUGCCAGUGAUAAACUGGAGGAAGGUGGGGAUGACGUCAAGUCAUCAUGGCCCUUACGAGUAGGGCUACACACGUGCUACAAUGGCGCAUACAAAGAGAAGCGAACUCGCGAGAGCAAGCGGACCUCAUAAAGUGCGUCGUAGUCCGGAUUGGAGUCUGCAACUCGACUCCAUGAAGUCGGAAUCGCUAGUAAUCGUAGAUCAGAAUGCUACGGUGAAUACGUUCCCGGGCCCUUGUACACACCGCCCGUCACACCAUGGGAGUGG